rnacentral:rRNA from 1 species
AGCAGCCGCGGUAAUUCCAGCUCCAAUAGCGUAUAUUAAAGUUGUUGCAGUUAAAAAGCUCGUAGUUGAACUUCGGGAUCAAUGGAUCGGUCAUGCCGUUGGUAUGUACUGGUCACAUUGGUUCUCACCUUCUAAGGAACCAUGAUGUCAUUCAUUUGAUGUUGUGGGGAAUUAGGACUGUUACCUUGAAAAAAUUAGAGUGUUUAAAGCAGGCUAACGCUUGAAUACAUUAGCAUGGAAUAAUGAAAUAGGACAUCGCAUUCUAUUUUGUUGGUUUCUAGGAUCACCGUAAUGAUUAAUAGGGAUAGUUGGG